UACAGAGGGUGCGAGCGUUGUCCGGAAUUAUUGGGCGUAAAGAGCUCGUAGGCGGUCUGUUGCGUCGGCUGUGAAAACCCGAGGCUCAACCUCGGGCCUGCAGCCGAUACGGGCAGACUAGAGUUCGGCAGGGGAGACUGGAAUUCCUGGUGUAGCGGUGAAAUGCGCAGAUAUCGGGAGGAACACCGGUGGCGAAGGCGGGUCUCUGGGCCGAUACUGACGCUGAGGAGCGAAAGCGUGGGGAGCGAACAGG
rnacentral:rRNA from 1 species